rnacentral:misc_RNA from 1 species
UGGUAGGAAGUAUUUAAUGACAGGGAUUUGUAAAUUUAGAUCAAUAAAAGAUAUUACACGAAUUGUGGACAUUACACAUGUCAUUGACAUUACGACAAUAAUUCAGGCUUAGGAGAAAGUUAUAAAUGACUAAUUAGAUGCAAAGUUUACUUCCAGCUGAUUAUAGGUUAUAGUUAAUAGAAAACACAAUCUCUUGCCACCUUACUUGUAAAGUUCAUUGUAGGCAUCCAAAUAGGCUCUAAGGUCAAUAUCGUCAUCUUGUAAGAGCGCUCGAUCAAAAUGGUCGUGAACUAGUCUAAGAUCAAAAUACAGCAGUUCGGAGCCUUCCGCCAUUUUCGCGUUUCCGUAUCAGGCACAACUUGAUUAUCAGACUGAACAACCGCAUCGCUUAUAGAACCAAUCGAAGAAAACUACGUAUCAGCAUAGUAGCGUUCGCCGAGUGGGAGAGCGACUGCCGAGAAGUAGAAGAAACACGAAGCCACGGUGGCUGGUCGACAGACACCCUUACGAAUCUUUUCUUCCCUCACAGUCUCCUUUUGUUCCGGUUGUCAAGGCUGACAGAGAGUGCAAGCAGUCGGAGACGAGAAACAAUUAUUCUUCUCCGAAGAAAGAGGCGAAUAUUAAAUCUGGCUGAACACUCGGAAUCUUUCGAACACAGUCUCGCGGAGGCCGUGCUCAUUUGCUCGGGAGGAUGGCAGUCGCCGUCGUUGCUUGGUGACCUCGUAGAUUAAAGACGAGCGGCAAGUACGACGGUCCCAGGCGACCCUUUAUGUCGAGCCACGUUUCUACGCUGCUUGAACUAUAUAGAAGAGAAGAUGGCGAGGAGAGCGAGGGGCGAAAGGUAGCCGGGUUGAAGAUAGGAAGGCGACGGCUGGGUGGAAGGAAGCAAGGUGGUAAGACUCACGGCAGGAUGGCGGUUGGUUG